rnacentral:lncRNA from 1 species
GGCGAGAGGGCCGAGUCGCUGAAGGUGCAGGUGGGAGGGCUGGGCUUCGAGGGGAGCACAGAGACUGAAGGUGCGGUGGAACCCCGAGAGGGGCAGGGAUGUGGCGAAGAAUACUUUGAAACUGUUGUCAAGUCCAUUUGUUUUAAGAAAAUGAUAGAUUUACCUGAUCUAAGGAGGUGAGACUGGAGCUGCGUUGGGAGAGGGCCCAGGCUGCUGACAGAUAGACAGACACAAACCGUUCAGGAUUCUUCUCCAGGUUUACAAUCAACCUCAUAGGACUUCAAAAUAAAAACACCAAACAAAACUCCAGGUAAGAGCAGAAGUAUCUUGACUUCUAAGAAUUUCAGAUAGAAGAAUCACCAGAUAUGGAAUGUGAAAUGCCAAGGUAUGAAACACUUUUGUUAACCUUUACAACUGAAUUUUUAAAAUAAGCCUGCACUAAAAAACCAUGAAUGACCAGGCAGAUUUAAACAAGAACUAAAAAGAACUUUUAAAAAUGAAAAAUGUAACUGAAAUUAAAAUAGCAGUGAAAGCUUUAACAGCAGAUAAAAUACAUGAAGGGAGAAUCGGGGAACUGGAAUGUAGAUGUCAGGAAGUUAUGCAGCCUGCAUAACUCAGGGAGACAGGAAGGAUGGGAAAUAUGAAAGAGAGGGUAAGAGACAGAAUAAAGGUAACAAGAGACUUGGAUGGAGAGAAUGAAGGCUUUUCAGAAAUGGCAAGAGACAUGAAUUCUUAGGUACAAGAAGCAUAAUGUUAACCGAAUAGGAUAAAUUUUCAAAAUUCCACACUUAGAUGCAUUGUCAUAAUGCUAAGGAACCUCAAGUUAAAGGGUAUCUUAAAACUGGCCAGAUGGAGUUCCCGUCGUGGCUCAGUGGUUAACGAAUCUGACUAGGAACCGUGAGGUUUCAGGUUUGAUCCUUGGCCUUGCUCAGUGGGUUAAGAAUCUGGCAUUGCUGUGAGCUGUGGUGUAGGUCACAGAUGAGGCUCGGAUCCCAAGUUGCCAUGGCUCUUGUGUAGGCCAGCAGCUGUAGCUCUGAUUCGACCCCUGGCCUGGGAACUUCCAUAUGCUGCAGGUGCAGCCUUAAAAAAAAAAAAAAAAAAAAAAAAAAAGUAAAAUGCUAUCAAUUCUACAUCAUGCCGUUGUUUUAAAUAUAGCACCAACAAAGGGGAAAAAAAGAGUGCCAAUUUAACUAUUCUAUGCACCAGAAAGUUCUGAGAUAUGAGAGGUGUGCAAAGUGAUAAACAUAUAGUAAUUUAUUGUAUGCCAACAUGUUUGUAUAAUGAAAACCUCUCAUUUAUAGGGUUAAAAAAACCCAGAAAUUAAAAUUCUGAUCUACAAAAAACAUGUAAGUUAGGAAAGUGUUGAUCAGAAUAAUAGUGUUUUAAAGACCAUAUGUUAUUAAAGAAGGGGUUAUGAUCCCAGGCAACUUUAGGUUGUAUCGCAUAUGCACUGAAAAUGUUCAGGAGUAAAGACAAGGAAAAUAUAGAGUAUAAAACUUCCAAACUAGUAGAGGGGAAGAAAUGGACUAAAAAAAACCUUUUUUUGAGCCAAUCAAAAAUGGAGAAAAAAGGAACAUACAAAAGAUAA